UGACUUUGUGUGCCCUUACUCUUUCCUCAGGUGCACGCUUGGGCUCGUUACUGCUCAGAAUUUUAGAAUCACAGAUCCAGCAGUGAUCAGGCAGCUGCAGCUGUCAGGGACCACCACCACCUACGCGAUUGAUCCGUGGGAGAAGCCGUCCUACUCUUUUCUUUCUCCUUUGUCCUUCUCAUUCCUGACCCCUUCAGGAUUCUCAGUCUUCCCUCCGGGAGGCCUUUCCAGAUCGACACUAAGUUCCAAUCCCGAGCUGUGUGACCCAGCACCAAUUCAGUCACGAUGAUGACUUGCAAUUGCUUAAUCAGUUGGCCUUUCCUCCUAGCUGUGAAGUUUACCGUGCAGGAUUGCAAACACCAGAGAGAAAAUCAGUCUCUGGAAUGAUGCCUUUGAUGGACCAAGAUGCAGCUGAUGAAGCAUUGAACCAAUUAGCACCUAGCAGGAGGGCACCCUUGCUCUGUGUCCUUGAAGGUUAAAGCUGUCAAAAAGUGGUCUCCCUCAAGUUCGGCCAUCUUGCUCUCAGAGAUCUAGAACUGGACUCAGUCAAAAUUUUGGGCCAAGGAGACCGACGCGCUGUCGCCUGCACUAAGAGAAACGCAACGAACAACUUUGUCAAUGCAUUGCAUUAUACUAUAGCAGCAACUAUACUUUUAAAUGAUUCGAAUCUUGAGGUUUCAAACUGAACCGUCUUGUGCCUUUUGCCCGGCGGGCAUUUCUGCGGGGACCGCGGGUCACCUUCUGAAUUUUUACCUUCAUAAACAGCAAGGACUGCGCUCUUUCGCACGGCGCCCCGUUUUUUCGUAGAGUUCCGUCGGCCAAAACCACUUGAAACUCGCUCAGCGGCGUCGGGGCUCCAGCCAGGCGUCACCUUCCACAGCGAACCUGCGAACCACAGCGUCCCCUGGGGGUCUCCGUCCGCGUGGCCGCUUCCUCUUACAUCGGUGACGCAAGGGAAGGGCGUCUAGGAUCCGCCGGUUUCCUUCCUCACUGCUCCCAUCAGUGCGAAAGCAACGUGUUGGGGGUUCGGGGUGUGUGGCGGCUGAACAGCUGCCUGAAGUUCUCUGAUGGCGCUGGAGGGAGCUCCAGAGAAGAGGUCAUGGGGAGAAGGCACACCUUAAACGCCCCGGGGUGGGGGGGGGGGGCGACAUUCCCUAAUGGGAAAAAAGACACACCUUAAACGCAGUAGAGGGCGACAUUCUCUACUAGGGAAAAUGCGGAAGAACACAGUUGUAAUCAACGGUAGCGUGGCCGAGCGGUCUAAGGCGCUGGAUUAAGGCUCCAGUCUCUUCGGGGGCGUGGGUUCAAAUCCCACCGCUGCCAAGUACUUUUCAUUCUCACUAGGGACUGUUUUUAGGAGAAUCCCUUUCCAAAUGUUCAGUAUGAAUGGUUCUUACGUAUCAAUCCCAUUCUCCUCUUCGACUUCUGUUUACCACGGAGCCAGAGAUAACCGUCCCCAGAACAAUGUUCCCCCAUUAUUUAGAGGACAGUGUACUCCAGGCGCCUCAGAUACAGCAAUGAGUGACACAAGCAAAAAAACCCUUAAUGGCACAUACUUAGUGAGGUGGCACGAUCUCGGCUCACUGUAACCUCCGCCUCCCCGGUUCAAGCCAUUCUCCUGCCUCAGUCUCCCGAGUGGCUGGGAUUACAGGUGCGCGCCACCACGCCCUGGCUAAUUUUUGUAUUUUUAGUAGAGACGGGGUUUCGCCAUGUUGGUCAGGCUGGUCUCGAACUCCUGGCCUCAAGUGAUCCUCCCUCCUCGGCCUCCCACAGUGCUGGGAUUACAGGCGUGGGCCACCGCACGCAGCCUGAAGGAUUAAUUUAUGUUUGGAAUCAGCUGCUGUUCUUCCUCCAGCCUCUCUGUAGUGUGCUCACUUCACACUUGGAACCAUAGUUAUAUGGUAUAGAGAAGAGACAACUCUAGGGAAAGUGCCAGUGCCUUGCCUUACCUUACAACUGCCAGACACACCCAGUCAGGUACCUUCUCUGUGGGCUUCUCAGUACCCCGUAUCUCUGUGGUUGCCGGGGGAGCCCUAUCUCUCCUCGGAGCAGUUCUCUCUGCAUACUUCUGGUCUGUCUCUCAUUCUCUAGACCUCAGCUUGGAAGUUGUUUCUCCUUGGAAGCCUUCCCUCAUCUCCUUCUCUUCCUCUUUCCAGCUUCAUAAAGUUUGGGAGGGUAUGGAGAGGAUAAGGAAGGGAACAGCACAGAACGUCCUUGCCCCACGGAACUCAGAGUUUAGUGGGGUUCUCAUGGGGGUUCACAAGGAUUAGAUAAGUUAUUGCCCUAAUAUGGGGCAAACUCUACUAAAAAGGAGAUAGCUUUCUAUGUGUAGAUUUUGAAUGAUGUUCCAGAUUUAAGAGAAUAAAAAGAAAAUAAUAUGAAUUGUAUGUUAGAAAGAAGGACUGUCACAGAAUUGUUCCCAACUGGGAUUACAGGUGCAGGCCACUAGGUCCGGCUAAUUUUUGUAUUUUUAGUAGAGAGGGGCGUUUUGCCAUGUUGGCCAGGCUGGUCUCAAACUCCUGACCUCAAGUGAUCCUCCCACCUGGGACUCCCCAAGUGCUGGGAUUACAGGUGUGAGCCACCACGCCUGACCACCUUUAUUGAUUUUUGAAUGCUAAUCCAACUUCUCCAUGCUAGAAUAAUCUUAACUUGUUCAAGACAUGUAAUCUUUUAAAAAAUGUAUAUUCCUGGAUUCAGUUUGUUACUAUCUCAAGAUUUUUCUCACUACAUUCAUGAAUGAUAAUAGCCUGUAAUUUUCUUUUUUAAAAAAUUUCCUUGUGUUGUUUGUUUUUCCUCAUCGUUCCCUAAUGGUUUGGUAUUAAGGUUAUACAGGCCUCAUAAAAUGAGUUUAACAUUGGGAUUAUUUUCCCUUGCAUGUUUAGUAGAAUUAACUGGUGAAAACAUCUGACCCUUGAGUUUUCUUUCUGGGAAUAUAUAUUAUAGGUUCUAUUUAAAUAAUUGGUAUCAGACUAUUCAGAUCUUAUAUUUUUUUCCUGUACUAGUUUUAGAAACAAGAGUCUUCCUAAGGAAAUAUACCAGAUGAACCUGGAAAAUCUUUUCACCAGAAAGCAAGGAGGCUACUGAAGACUACUUUAGUCAUGUUAAACAAAAAAGGCUUGUGCUGACACCUAUGAAGUAGUCUUACCCAAAUCAAAUCUAAAUAUAGAAUUUGAUAAAGCCCUUAGAUCUAACUAUUAAUUUUUAGGACAUGCAGGGGCAGAGGAAUGUGUUAAAUACUACCAAAGGUGUGCAAUAAUUAAAAUCCAAACUGUGAAACUCUGCAGCACCAGCAACCUAGUUAAUCAUUAAAUAAAUUUCAAGAAAAAAGAGAUAUAGGGAGAACUUAUAUAUUAAAAUACUUAAGAUACAUACCAACUAAUCACAAUGUAUUGACCUUAUUUGAAUACUUUUUUUUUUUUUUUUCUGAGACAGUGUCUCACUCUGUCACCCAGGCUGGAGUGUGGUGGCACAAUCACGGCUCACUGCAGCUUUGACCUCCCAAGCUCGUCUCCCGAGUAGCUGGGACCACAGUCAUGCACCACCAUGCCUGGCUAAUUUUUGAAUUUUUUGUAGAGACAGGGUCUUGCUAUGUUGCCCAGGCUGGUCUUGAACUCCUGAGCCCAAGUGAUCUUCUUGCCUUGGCCUCCCAAAGUACUGGGAUUACAGGUGUGAGCCAUGGUGCCUGGCUUGGUUUUUUUUAAUGUUAAGAAAAAAUGGCAUUAGAGAAAAAUUUGAACAGCGAAUGAAUCUUUGAUGAUGUUGCCAAAUAGAUAAUUUUGUUUAGGUGUGAUAACUGUACUAGUGUUAGUUUACUUAUAUUUUUGGUUUGUUUUUUAGAGAUGGGGUCUUGCAAUAUUGCCCAAGCUAACCUCAAACUUUAGGGCUCAAGGAGUCCUCCCACUUCAGCCUCUUAAGUAGCUGGGACUACAGCAUAGGCCGUCGUGCCCCUGGCUCUAUUAUUAGUUUGUUAGUUAGUUUGUUUGUUUGUUUAUUUAUUUAUUUAUUUAUUUUGAGACUGAGUCUUGCUCUGUCGCCCAGGCUGGAGUGCAGUGGCGCGAUCUCGGCUCACUGCAACCUCUACCUCCCGGGUUCAAGCAAUUCUCCUGCCUCAGCCUCCCGAGUAGCUGGGAUUACAGGCGCCUGCCACCACGCCUGGCUAAUUUUUGUAUUUUUAGUACAGGCGGGGUUUCACCAUGUUGGCCAGGCUGGUCUUGAACUCCUGACCUCAGGCAAUCCAUCCACCUCAGCCUCCCAAAAGUGCUGGAAUUACAGGUGUGAGCCACCGUGCCCGGCCCAUAUUGUUAGUUUUUUUAAACAGUCAUUAUCUCCUAUAGACAAUUAAAUACUUAUGGAUGAAACACAAUUUCUGUCAUUUGCUUGAAAAUAAUCUUAAGCAGAGGGAAUGGGUGGGGAUACAGAUGAAACAAGAUUAACCCUGACGUAAUAAUUGUUGAAGCUGAAUGAUGUGUACAUGGAGUUCAUUUUUCUAUUGCCUUAACUCUUGCAUGGGUUUGAAAUGUUCUAUAAUAAACUUUAUUUUUUAUUUAUUUAUUUUUUUGAGAUGGAGUUUCGCUCUUAUUGCCCAGGCUGGAGUGCAAUGGCACAAUCUCGGCUCACCACAACCUCUGCCUCCCGGGUUCAAGCGAUUCUCCUGCCUCAGACUCUGAGUAGCUGGGAUUACGGGCAAGCGCCACCAUGCCUGGCUAAUUUUUGCAUUUUUAGUAGAGACAGGGUUUCUCCAUAUUGGUCAGGCUGGUCUUGAACUCCUGACCUCAGAUGAUCUGCCCACCUCAGCCUCCCAAAGUGCUGGGAUUACAGGCAGGAGCCACUGCGCCCGGCCAAUACAUUUUUUUUAAUAGAGGAGGACUAUAAAACCUAUGGGAAGCUCUGAUGGCACGACUAUGACUUGCUGAUGUUCACUACAGGUUAUCUGGCUAGGCCACUUGCUGAGAAACUCCUGAUGUAUCUUCAAGUCUAUUCUGGUUGGAUUUCUCACUGAAAACUGCGUCUUUUGUCUGGGAGGUGAAAGCCAGACCCUCAUCUUUCUGGGAGAUAAGGAAAGUAGGCUGGAGGCGUUGACAUUCAGUAUGCUCCUUUUUCAAAUGGAAUUCCUGUCCUCCAUGUGUCUAGCCCACAUAUCCUUUGUUUAACCUUCUUCAGAAAAUAAACCUCCAGUCUUCUUUGGGCUUGAGGACCUAGGACUCUGCUUGCUUCCUAAAUAGCCUCUGACAGACUCUCCUCGUUUUAGUCUAUUCAUUCUCAUUUCCAGGGGUACAUGGUGCCACCAAUUCUUGAGUCGCUUAAAGAUUCUAUGAUGUAAAAUAAAUGUCUUUUUUUUUUUCUUUUCUUUUUUAGAAGGAGUCUCACUCUGUUGCCCAGACUGGAGUGCAGUGGUGCAAUCUCGGCUAACUGCCACUUCCGCCUCCCACUCCCCAGUAGCUGGGACUACAGGCACGCACCACCAAGCCCAGCCAAUUUUUCUAUUUUUAAUAAAGAGACAGGGUUUCACCAUGUUGGCCAGGCUGGUCUCAAAUUGCUGAUCCCAAGUGAUCUGCCCAUCUCAGCCACCCAAAGUGCUGGGAUUACACGUGUCAACCACGGUGCCCGGUCAGAUUUGUCCUUUACUUGCCCCCUUCAGGCUAAAAUUUAGCUUUCUCAAAUUCAAUGUCAUUAUUACUUAUCCUUUUUUCAGUUUCCAAAAUUUUGUAGUUGCCUCUUCUGCCAUUCUUCCUGAUUAUGAAUGGUUUUACUGUAGCAUUAGUGUAGUUCUGAGGGGGAGCAAUACCAAAUACACGUAGUCAAGCUACAAUCCUUACCAAGAAGUAUCUUAUCAUCUUUCUUAAACUUAAAUGAAAUUGGCAUUCUCCAUUUCUUUUGUGAAGGUAAAAAUAAUCUCAUAUCAGUGUUCUGGUAAAAAUUUUGUGUUUGCACGUGGAAUGUAAUUCGAUUUAAAAAGUGAGUUUUACCUGGUGAUUUUUGUAUGUAAAUUAUAACUUAGACUAACUCUUGUUUGGUAACUCUUCAGAAUUAGAACUACAGAUAUCUUAGGGUUUCAAGCAACAUGUUUUGUCAUUCAACUAUGCACCUGACCUUCGAAUUCCUUCAGUAUUAUUCUUACCAAACUUAUUACCUUAUGGCAG
rnacentral:tRNA from 10 species